UUUCUACUUGUAUUCCCCCCAUUAAAGCAUUUAAAAUAAUUUAAAACAUUGAUUAAGGGGUAUGAACUCACCUAUAGAUGGUGGUUUGGAUGAACUGAAUGAUGUAGGAUUGCUAGGUGACAAGUGAAGACUUGUUCACACUCAAUGAUCCUAGUUAACAUAUAAUCACACAUAUAUGUAUCCAAUUAGACUUUAAACCACUAAUUGACAAAGUUAAGACAUCCUAAGGCAUGUAAAACACCUUAUAUAAGUGGUACAAGUGCUAAGGAGUGCAUCUAAGUGUUGUAAGGAAAGGCUAGUAUGAUUGGGGUUCAAGGAACACUCUUAAAAUGAGUUUACUCCCUAAGGACCAACACCCCUUGAGUUUACGGUCGUAAACUCCUAACCUUUUGACCAUUUGUUGUUUUGAAGUCUUCUAAGCUAUUCCAAGCAUUCCUACUGCAUGAUUUAGCCUUAGGAAGUGUUCUGUGGCAUCAAAACACUCCUAAAUGGAGUUUACAGUCUAAGGACCAUUUCUCCAUGAGUUUACUACCUUAAACUCAUGAGUUUACUACCUUAAACUCAUGAGUUUACUACCUUAAACUCAUGUAAUGUAUUCAUGUAAGGUAUUCAUGUAAUGUAUUCAUGUAAGGUACUCAUGUAAUGUAUUCAUGUAAGGUACUCAUAUAAUGUAUUCAUGUAAGGUACUCAUGUAAUGUAUUCAUGUAAGGUACUCAUGUAACGUGUAAUGUAUAGUAUAGACUAAUGAAUGAACUGACUCUGAUGUAAUUCCUUGUAAUAGGAAUAAUGUUUUGUAUCUUCUAACUAUCCCUAUGAUAGUAACUGGAAGGUAAUUGGUUGUUCAAGUAGGUUUAUACACCCUUGCUACACAAGAGUGUGGGAAACUGAAUGAAGGAUGAAAACUAUAACAUCAAUACAUAUAUAAGAACAUAAGUGUAUAGAUAUAGUUUUGUUCAAGAAGGUAAAAAUGGUUUUGUAAAACAUCUAAGAGUUUUGAACAAUAAUUAACAAUGACUUGAUGUCAUUUUAAUAAACAUUUCAAACGUAAUACUUUUCCUACCAAAGUAUUGUUAAGAUAGAAAACCAUUUCAUGCAUCACAUUUUGAAGUAUGUGAAAUCUGCUAGAUGAAAACACAGUUAUAAAUACAUAUGAUUGAUUCAAUAACAUAUUGUUUUCUACUUGUAUCCCCCCCCCAUUAAAGCAUUUAAAAUCAUUUAAAACAUUGAUUAAGGGGUAUGAACUCACCUGUAGAUGGUGGUUUGGAUGAACUGAAUGAUGUAGGAUUGCUAGGUGACAAGUGAAGACUUGUUCACACUCAAUGAUCCUAGUUAACAUAUAAUCACACAUAUAUGUAUCCAAUUAGACUUUAAACCACUAAUUAACAAAGUUAAGACAUCCUAAGGCAUGUAAAACACCUUAUAUAAGUGCUACAAGUGCUAAGGAGUGCAUCUACGUGUUGUAGGGAAAGGCUAGUAUGAUUGGGGUUCAAGGAACACUCUUAAAAUGAGUUUAC
rnacentral:lncRNA from 1 species